CAGUAGCCGCGGUAAUACGUAGGUGGCAAGCGUUGUCCGGAAUUAUUGGGCGUAAAGCGCGCGCAGGCGGAUAGGUCAGUCUGUCUUAAAAGUUCGGGGCUUAACCCCGUGAUGGGAUGGAAACUGCCAAUCUAGAGUAUCGGAGAGGAAAGUGGAAUUCCUAGUGUAGCGGUGAAAUGCGUAGAUAUUAGGAAGAACACCAGUGGCGAAGGCGACUUUCUGGACGAAAACUGACGCUGAGGCGCGAAAGCCAGGGGAGCGAACGGGAUUAGAUACCCCCGUAGUCCCUGUCUCUUAUACC
rnacentral:rRNA from 1 species